rnacentral:tRNA from 1 species
UUUUUGGUGGCCGAGGUGAGGCUGCAGUCUUUUAAUCUGUGAACGGAGUUAACUCCCCAUGCGU